UUGUGGAGGAGGACGCCGAAGGUGGGGCUAAUGACUGGGGUGAAGUCGUAACAAGGUAGCCGUACCGGAAGGUGCGGCUGGAUCACCUCCUAACAGGGAGACAACAAAAUGUUUAAUAAUUAUUAUUUUGUCACCUUAGGUCGAUCGGUAUCUCACGUUUUUAAUUUAUUAAGAAUUUCAUUUCCUAAGUUUUUUCUAGGUCACACCCAUUAUUUUUCCUGGGCCAUUAGCUCAGGUGGUUAGAGCGCACCCCUGAUAAGGGUGAGGUCCCUGGUUCAAGUCCAGGAUGGCCCAUAUCUCUAUGUUGGGGGUAUAGCUCAGUUGGUAGAGCGCCUGCUUUGCAAGCAGGAUGUCAGCGGUUCGAGUCCGCUUACCUCCACUGAUUACCACCUCUUUCAUAAUCUAUGAGAAGGAAAUGUUUUGAGUAGUGAUCAUAUUCUGAACGAAGCUAGCUUCCUAAUGAAAUCAUUAAGAUGCUGGACUCAUUGAAUUAAUUUCAUUGUUUUCAGAGAACCUUGACAACUGCAUAGAUUAUUUUUAAAGACAAUAAGCAUCUUUAAUGAUGCAGAUUUAUUAUUUGUGCUAAUGCAUUAAUAACAAUUCUAUUAAGCUGAUGCUUCAAUUUUGAAGUUAUUGGUCAAGCUACAA
rnacentral:misc_RNA from 1 species